rnacentral:rRNA from 1 species
UACAGAGGGUGCAAGCGUUAAUCGGAAUUACUGGGCGUAAAGCGCGCGUAGGCGGUUUAAUCAGUCGGAUGUGAAAGCCCCGGGCUCAACCUGGGAACUGCAUUCGAUACUGUUAAGCUAGAGUAUGGUAGAGGGAAGUGGAAUUCCAGGUGUAGCGGUGAAAUGCGUAGAUAUCUGGAGGAACAUCAGUGGCGAAGGCGACUUCCUGGACCAAUACUGACGCUGAGGUGCGAAAGCGUGGGGAGCAAACAGGAUUAGAAACCCCAGUAGUCC